rnacentral:lncRNA from 1 species
UGAUCUCCUGAAGUACCUGAAACAAUAAACUGAAAACUGUAAGCCCGAGGCUUAGUGAGCUACCCCCAAAAUACCAAUACCACACUGACAAUACCAUAUCAGUAACAAUCAAUCAAUCAUCAAGCAUAUUGGGCCAUCGACCUGACUGGACCGCCCUACCGGGCCUAUAGUCCGUCUGAAUCUAUCCCGAGCCUUCGGCAUGACUGGUCCGCCACGUGGGCCUACAGUCUCCCCGAACCGCUCAUAGGGUAUAUUGGCCUUCAGCACAAAGCAGGACCGCCUCAACCCAACCACCAACAAAUAACCAUGUGCGCAUACUAUCACAUACAGGCAUAUACAAACAUCAAACAUAUAUGUCACACUGACAUCAAUUAUAGAAUUCUCCUGUAACUAGAGUACCGACCUAGCAGGUCACUAACAUACAAAUCCCUACAGAUCAUAAGAGCAUAACAUACUGUCUACCCCGAUUCCGAUCUAACAGAUCAUAACCACAUGUACCAUACCGUAACAAUAACAACUAAAGGGUCGGCCUUGGUGUUGUAGACUCUAUCGAUAUAGUGAGGAUAACUCACCUCACAGAUGUCGACUCAAAAGGCAAACUCCAACUCUCGGAUCACUUGAAACAGGCUCCACCAUUUAUCGUCAUAGUACAACAUACUCAUAAGUUCCUUAACCUUAUAAGGUACUCCAUAACCCACUAGUAAAUCCCUGGUCAAAGUCAAAGUCCUCAGUCAAGGUCAAUAGUCCAUGUUGACCUUAACUCGCCGAGUACCCUUGGCUACUCGCCGAGUUCCCUGAAGUACAUUCCAGCUCGCCGAGUCAUCGGAGUGACUCGUCGAGUUCCUUUAAUUCUCGAUCAAACUUAAAGGCCACCCAUCGAGUUCCCUCCUUGCAACUCGAUGGAUGCUCACUCGUACAUAUCCAAGAGAAAACUCAUCCGACUCGCCGAGUUGUUCUUCAACUCGUCGAGUUUAUGGCAAUCUUCAUCGGACUCGCCGAGUUGAUCAUCCAACUCGUUGAGUUCACGGCCGUCUUCAUGUGACUCGCCGAGUCACUUUGCGACCGCCGAGUCCAUUCAGUCCUUCUUUUCCAUACAUACAUAUUUUGAGCCAUGCAACGGCUCUAACUCAUAGAUCCAAGCUUCUGGGGCAUGCUUAUCACGUAAAGUUGCAAAAUUUACGUGCAUGCAUGGCUAUAAAGGCUCUAAAUGUUUAUUUUAAGUUCUUAAUGGAACUUCAUGCUUAAUAGGGAACUUAAUCCUUUGAUACCUCCAAAGGAUGCUAGCUGAGGUAAUUCCUGCUUCCCACUCCUUCCUUGCUUCAAUUUCCUUUGCACCCUUAGCUUUCUUCCUCCAAGAUUCUCUUCUCCCACUUCAAACACNUUCAAACACCACACCAAGGCACACACACACACGAAUUAGGGUUUUAAGGGGCUCUCAAAUAAUGUAAAGAGGCCAAAGGAGGCUAAGGCUCCUUUAAAUAGAGGUGUAAACCCCAGGAUUUAGGGUUUCCACUGCCAGAUCCUACUCGUCGAGUCCCAACAUGGACUCGUCGAGUAGGUCACUUAAAACGCGAUCUCAUCCAGCUGCUACUCGACAAGUAGGUCAACCAACUCAUCGAGUAGAGCUUAACCCAAUAAUUCUUAUUUAAGCAAUACCUAAGCAUCGGGGCGUUACAACUCUCCCCCACUUGAACUAGACUUCGUCCUCGAUGUCUGCUGGAAUAAAUAACGUCGGGUAAUGCUCGCGCAUCUCCGCCUCCGACUCCCAUGUCCACUCGGAUCCCUUCUGAUGUUCCCACUGUACCUUUACUAAAGGUAUUUCCUUGUUCCGUAGAAUCUUCUUCUUCCUUUCCAAAAUAGCCACAAGCCUCUCCACAUAGUUCAAGCGCUCAUCGACCUGAAUGUCAUUCAACGAUACCAUUACCUCCUGGUCCAUAAUGCAUUUUCGCAAUUGCAAAACAUGAAAUGUGUUGUGGAUCCGGCUAAGCUGCUCCGGAAGCUCUAGCCUAUAAGCCACCCUGCCAACCCUGGCAACAAUCCUGAACGGUCCAAUGUAACAAGGACCCAAUUUUCCCCUCUUCCUGAAGCGGAUCACACCCUUCCAGGGUGAGACCUUCAGAAGAACCAUGUCACCCACCUGAAAUUCCAACUCAGAUCGGCGUCGGUUGGCAUAACUUUUCUCUCAGUUCUGAGCGGUCUGCAGUCGCUGUCUAAUCUGCUGUAUCAUCUCGGUAGUUUGCAGAACUACCUCAGUCCGACCCAUCACCCUGUACCCAACCUCCCCCCAACAGACUGGGGUCCUGCACCUCCGCACAUACAACAACUCGAAAGGCGGGGCGCCGAUACUGGAAUGAUAGCUAUUGUUGUAGGCGAAUUCUGCAAGCGGUAGGUAGGAAUCCCAACUCCCACCAAAAUCAAUGACACACACCCUCAACAUAUCCUCGAGGGUCUGAAUGGUCUGAUCACUCUGCCCAUCAGUCUGCGGAUGGAAUGUUGUACUAAAAUGCAGUCGUGUACCCAGUUCCUCAUGGAACUUCUGCCAAAAACAGGAAGUAAACCUGACAUCUCGAUCGGAAACGAUAGAAACCGAAACCCCAUGACGAGAGACGAUCUUUCUGACGUACAGGUCAGCCAACUUCUCUACCGACGAACUCUCCCAUAUGGCUAGGAAAUGGGCACUCUUGGUCAAUCGAUCCACGAUGACCAAUAUAGAAUCGAACCCCCUUGCCGUCUUCAGCAACUUCGUGAUGAAAUCCAUCGCGAUCCGUUCCCAUUUCCACAUGGGAAUCUCCAGAGGCUCCAACUUACCAUGCAGCCUCUGAUGCUUGGCCUUGACCAUCCUACAGGUCAAGCACCUCUCAACAAACCAAGCGAUAUCUCACUUCAUGCCAAGCCACUAAUAACUCGAACUCAAAUCACGUUACAUCUUGGUGGCUCCCGGGUGAAUCGAAAAACGAGACUUAUGAGCCUCCUCCAUCACUGUCUGCCGGACCCCUCCAGACAUCGGAACCCAAACCCGACCGUAACGGGUCAACAAUCCGCGGCUAUCCUGAACAAACCGGGCGCUUUCACCCUUAAUCCUCUCCAACUUCCAGUUCUCUGGUCUCAUGCCCUUAAUCUGAGCAUCCCUGAUCAAACCCACCAGUGGGGAAUCCACCGCUCUCCUCAUACACCUGGCUGGGGUCGAGGACCCAGCUGACUUACCGCUUAGAGCAUCCGCAACCACAUUCGCUUUACCAGGAUGGUAAAGGAUCUCGCAAUCAUAGUCCUUGACCACAUCCAGCCACCUGCGCUGCCUCAUGUUCAGGUUCGGCUGAUCCAUGAUGUGUCUCAAACUCUUGUGAUCCGUGUAUAUAGUGCAACGGACCCCGUACAGAUAGUGCCUCCAAAUCUUGAGAGCGAAAACCACUGCUCCCAACUCAAGAUCGUGCGUGGGGUACCUCGUCUCAUGCGGCUUCAGUUGUCGUGAUGCAUAGGCUACCACCCGUCCUCUCUGCAUGAGGACUGCUCCCAAGACAGUGAUGGAUGCAUCGCAAAAUACCACAAAAUCCUCCACUCCCUUGGGGAGUGUCAACACCGGUGCCUCGCAUAAACACUGUCGGAGGGUCUCAAACGCCCUCUGCUGUUCAGGGCCCCACCGGAAAUCCACCCCCUUCCUCGUUAGACGAGUGAGGGGUACAGAAAUCUUGGAGAUAUCACGAAUGAAUCUCUGAUAAUACCCUACUAAACCUAAGAAACUCCUGAUGUCAGAGGGAGAUUUCGGGGUCUCCCACUGCAUAACCGCCUCCACCUUGGCUGGAUCGACCAGAAUCCCCUCCUGGUUAACGAGGUGUCCGAGGAACUGGACCUCCCGUAACCAAAAAUCGCAUUUCAAGAACUUGGCAUAUAACCGUUCUCGCCUCAGAACUUCCAGCAGCUCCUUGAGAUGCUCCUCAUGCUGCCCUUGAGUCUUGGAGUACACCAAGAUAUCAUCUAUAAACACAAUUACUGAGCGAUCAAGCAUCGGUCUGUAUACCCGGUUCAUCAGAUCCAUGAGCACUGAUGGCGCAUUUGUGAGUCCAAACGACAUCACGACGAACUCAUAAUGACCAUAACGAGUCCCGAACGCGGUCUUCUCCACGUAUUCCUCCCUCACCCUGACCUGGUGAUAUCCUGAUCUCAAAUCAAUCUUGGAAAACCAAGAUGCACCCUGCAGCUGAUAAAAAGAUCGNAAGCGGAUAACGGUUCUUCACCGUUAACUUGUUCAGCUCCCUAUAGUCAAUGCACAUCCUGUGCGAACCGUCCUUCUUCCUGACGAAAAGGAUCGGUGCUCCCCAGGGUGAACUACUCGGACGAAUAAACUGCAUACCCAGCAGUUCCUGCAAUUGGGAUGACAACUCCUGCAUCUCUGGCAAUGCCAGUCGGUACGACGCCUUAGAGAUAGGGGUCGCACCUAGCACUAGGUCAAUCCUGAACUCAACCUGCCUCUCCGGAGGCACUUUGGGUAACUCCUCCAGAAACACAUCAGCAAACUACCUCACCACCGGGACCUCAGAAACUGAGAGUUGCUCUCUAAUCCGCGUAUCUACAACAUAAGCCAAAUAACCGACACACCCGUGCUGAAUAUACUGCCGAGCCCUGGCUGCCUAACAAAACCCUGAUCCCAACCUGGUGCCCUCACCAUAUACUAUAAGUUCUCCCCCACUUUGGGUUCGAACCACCACCCGCUGCCCCUCACAGUCAAUCAUGGCGCCAAAACGGCUAAGCCAAUCCAUCUCUAUAAUCACGCAUACAUCCCUCAUGGGAAUAGGGAUCAAAUCUAUCGGGAAGGACACCCCUAAAAUCUCCAACUCGCAUCCCCGGAAGAUCGAAGAAGCAGAGACCCCAUGCUCGUUGGCGAUCGAGACUCGCAACGGACACUCAAGAUCAUCUAUCGGCACACUGAACCCUCUAGAGAAGGUUUAAGAUACAAACGAUCGACUCGCCCCUGAGUCAAAUAAUACCAAAGCGGGCAAAGAGUCACUAAAAACGUACCUAAUCACAGGUAUAAUCAAUAAGCAUAACACGAAUACAAUAACUAAGACAGAGAAUAGAAAACGUACCAGCAACCACAUCCGGUGCUGACUUGGCCUCCUCGGCCGUGAGCUAGAAGGCGCGACCCUGAGCCUUCGGAGUCUCCACCUUGACUGGCCUCCCAUCUCCAAUCCUNGCAGCUGGCGCGGAACCCUGCGCCGGCUUGGCGGCGAGCUGCGGACAGUUGGUCUUCACAUGACCAACCUGAUAACAAUGGUAACAAAUCCUCAUAUCUGCUGGAGGGGCGGAUUGAGGGCAUUCCCUAGCAUAGUGCCCCUUCUUGCCACAUUUGUGGCACCCACCUCCUGCUCGACAAACCCCCGAAUGAGCCUUGCCACACUAUCCACAAGUGCGGCUCUGAUGACCCCUGGAUCGUGUAUCAGCGGUCUUACACCGCUUAGGCGCCGGCUGAGACUGUACCAGUGCCUGAUGCUGCUCCUUCAGCUGCAGCUCUAUCUCUAACUCACGCCGCCGCGCGGCUUCCUGAAGGUCCAGGAGGGUAUCACAUCGCUAUGUAGACACAAACUGUCGAAUAUCAGUCUUGAGCAUACUCAUAUAACGAGUCAUCUGAGACUGCUCUGAAGCAAACUCCGGGCAAAACAUACCCCUCUCCGUGAACAUACGGGUAAUCUCCAUCACAGACUCCCCAUCCUGUCUCAAUGUCUAAAACUCUUGUGCAAGCCGCUCCCGCUCAAUGCAUGGAACGUAGCGGGUGUGGAACAUAUCUCUGAACUGCUCCUAAGUAACAGCAGCCCGCUGAUCAUCAGUAUACGUUCCAGUCAUCAGCCUCCACCAGUCCUUUGCCCCAAGCCUCAGCAGGUUCAGGGCACACCUAACCUUUUGGUCAGCAGGACAUGAGCCCGUGAAGAAACAGUCCUCCACGUCAAAUAACCACCUCAUAGCCCUAAUUGCAUCCUGUGUACCAUCAAACGUCGGGGGGUUUCGUAUUAUCGAAGUCCCGAUACUGGAAAGCCCUGUCGGCUCCUCCUCCAACCUCUGNUUACAGCCGAAGUGGCUGCAGCGGCAGCUGUCUCUGCUAGAGCUGCAUAUCGCUCAUCAAAAUACUCAACCAUCGUGGUCUUAGUCGACCCAAACAUCUCUGGCAGCUGCGCUCGGAACGCAGCAGCAAUCUCGUCAUGCAUGAUCUCCCUGAUCCUGGCAUCCAACUCCUCAGUCCCUAUCUGAACCACGGCCUCAUGUGCUACCGGCACCUCCAACCCUCCGUCUCCUGACCCCGAUCCUGAUCCUGAUCCCGAAGCAACACGUCUCGUCACCACCAUACUGGAAUAUAUACAAGUCAUCAGAUAAAUAACAUAAUGUCGGGAGACCAAAGCCCCCAAAACUCUAGAGGUUGUGAUUUCCUUGCUACGCAUAUGGGUCCUGUGCUUUCAGUAGUACGGGCCCAUACUACCUUCCACACCUACCCAUAUUUGUCUCAAGUAUCACCACAACGCCCUAAAAAUAUCAUUAACAUAGAAAUGCGCCCAACCCUCACUUCUAGGGGAACACCAAAUAUCUCGCAUCUAGUCUCACCACUUAUCUCGACUCACACAUCCAUGAAACUUCCAUCAUCCCCUGCAGCGCUGGUGCGUGCUAGCUGCACAUAACGCUGGACCCAAUAGACUUUCGAAUAUCCAAUCCUACCCGAAGGCCGGAUCAACAUUCUCAAGCUAUAAGGUCUUUAUUAUGCACAGCCGUGAUGCAUACACUAAACAUCUACAAUUAUGAUAUCAAUUCCACAUACAAGAAAUCCUAGUUUAAUAGGCAUCAUGCAAUCAGGCAAAUCUAUCAUGUGAUUCCUGAAGAUCCCUAGCCUAGCACUAGCAUGUCGUUCUAACAUAUCAGAAUAUCAAAUAACUGCAUGGUAUUUUAGGGUUUACUUACAGGCUCCGACUGAUCGUACCCUCUGCAUCCUCCAUCCUUUAUUUUGAAAACCAUUUUAAAACUUAUUUUCCGAAAAUCUCCUUGAUUUAAGACUGGAUUCACAUGAGUGUUCCUCCAAUUUACUCAAACCAAGGCUCUGAUACCAACUUGUAACAUCCAUAAAUUUAACGCCAAAUUUAAACUUUUUCAAUCAUAAAUAAAAACCAAAUAGUAUUGUUUACAAAAUGUUUUCAAAUCAUUUUCCAUCAGAGUGUCCCAAAAACCAUAACAUAAGGAUGAGGAGCGGUACGGUCACGCCUUCGCCUUUCCAUGAUCUCCUGAAGUAUCUGAAACAAUAAACUGAAAACUGUAAGCUCGAGGCUUAGUGAGCUACCCCCAAAAUACCAAUACCACAUUGACAAUACCAUAUCAGUAACAAUCAAUCAAUCAUCAUGCAUAUUGGGUCAUCGGCCUGACUGGACCGCCCUACCGGGCCUACAGUCCGUUUGAAAAAAGAGAAUAUUUAUCAUAUCCAUUUGAGAAAAUUUUAUUUUCUUAUCAUUUGUCAAAGGAACGAAUUAUUCAAAUUUAUAUUAUGAAGUGUACUCAAUUGUACAAUACUUUGUAUUUUCAUAAAUAUAUUAUAAUGGAACAUUUUAGUUGUUACAUGCUUGUUUUCAUCUUAUUUCUUCUUCAUUUUCAUGUCUGAUAUAAUUCAAUCAAUUUUCGCAUUAUUGUCAUUUUUAUUGUUUCUAUGGAAAUCCAAACUAAGAACUUUUGACAAAAUAAUUUUUUACACAAAUCAAUUGGAUUUUUUAAACCAUAAUUUUUCAAUUGGCAUUUUGGUAAUUUGACUAUAACACCAAAUAGUCUUUUAUCAAUAGGGUUUGACCUAGGUUACAUUGGAGGUGAUGGUACAUUUUAUUAAUUGUUUGGAAUACCAAGCUGCAAUAUUUAUGGAUAACAGACGAAAUCAUGCAUGUUUUUGGGAAGGGAGAACCAUAUAUAUUCUCUCGUGAAAUUUUUAGUGUUUUUUUUAUGCCUCUCAUUAGUUCCAUGCAGAGAGAAAAGACUUGAAGCUGGAGGCUGGGAUGUAAAAAUAUUCAAACUUGAUGGUAAAAAUCGAAACAAAAACUUUUUGGAUGAGUUUUGGACUGGGGAAAUAGUUAUGGGACUGGGUAUGGGAUUUUUUUCUAAAAGUUUUCAUGGGUUUAGGAUGAUUAUGAUAUUACAGUUAUACCCGUCCAAUUAUGGUAACUCGAAUUACCCAUCCUCGAACCAUUAUAUUCUUAUAAUACUUAAUUACUUUUAUUGUUAUUAUGUAUGAUUUCAAAGUUGUAUUAUAAUAUAAUAUGUGAUACUAGAAAGUUUGUUAUGUAAUUAGAAAUUGUUAGAUUUCUUUAAUAUUUAUGUUAUGAUCUUUAUUAGUUUAUAAUGAAAUUCGGAUAUUAAUAAAUUUUGUUUGGUGAUGAUUAUAUUUAUAUAGUAUUUGUUAAAUAUUAAACUUGUGGAUGUUUUGCAAAUUAAAGUUGUGGAUGUUGUUGCAAACUGAAAUUAAAAUAUUCAUGUCAAUGUAAUGGAUGAGAUUGUGAUUGAGUUUUAAGUAAUAAAAUUUCCAACGGAUUAAUUUUAACAUAUUAAGAUGAUAAUUGGGACACCCUGAUUCCCUGAAGGAUGUGAAAGGAUGUCUGUCCGAUACAAUUUUUUAACCUGGUGUAUAUAUGGUGGUGUAAUCAAAAAAAGUUUAAUUUUGCUAAAAAUAAAGUAUUUUAGACAACGAUUUCUUUGUGGUUUUGGUCAUAUAAAAUAGCUAACUUUUUUAUUUUAUAUCCUCUUUACAGUUUUUCUUUUAUUUAAUUUAAUUUUGACAAAAUUAAAAAAUGGUCCAUAUAGGUUCUAAAAGGUUAUGUUUAAGCAAUUUUACCCUAAUGAUCCUUUUUUACUUUAAAAUCUUGUAUAGCCACUUUUAUAAAUUAACCGUUAAUUAUAUGUUAAAAAACAUUUCUACGCACCCGACCGCAUGCACUUUUUUUUUUUUUCUUUUUCUUAUGUUACCCUUUUGCUAAAGCCAUAUUUUCUUCCCCCUUAGUCCUUUCCCACCUCCCACAACUCCGAAAUGGUUUGAUUUCUUUUUUGAAUUAGCUCAAUUCGUAUAUUUUCAAUUUUUAUAAUAUAAACGUAAAACUAUAUGUCUCUUCUUGUUUGCAAAGUAAAAAAAAAUAACCAGAAAAGUACAAAAUAAAAAAACAAAAUAAACCGAUUCAAUUCUGAUUCCAAACCAAACGAAUAAAAACUUCAUUCAAAUUCUCAAAAAAGCUACAAAAAUCAUAUAUUUAGAAAGAAAUUCAUCUAUGCAACAAUCUUGAAGUGCAAAAAUGGAUAUGCUAAGAGUAAUAUACAAUAGCAUGAGGUUAUAGACAGAAAGUCUCAACAAAAAGUCAAAGUAACGAAUGUUACAAUACCGCAAGUCAAAACUAGAAGCCUCCACCAUCGACCGUUCUACCAAAUUCUCGAAACCCUAAAGCUUCAUUAGUGUAAUAAGCCGCUAGACAUGAGAUUGAAGAAUCGCCUCUAAGAGACACUAACAAAAUCUAAUAAAAGAAUUACACAAUUUUUGUUUAAAGAAUAAGACUAAUGUAAGGGGUUGAGGAGGUGAAAGAAAUGCUUUUUGGGUUUGUUUGAUGAAUUGCAAUCUUGAAUGCUUCAAAGAACUCCAUUAUAAACUCAAACCCCACCUCCAUUAGUUUCAUCCAUAUUGCCAUUUUCCCAGCCAUCUCUUUGUUUUUGUUUGUAUAUGUGUUGUAUAAACAUGCAUCUAUGUGUGUGUAUAUAUAGUGUUUGUAUAAAUGAAGAAAUUGAAAGGAACGAAGUAGGUUUUAUAUGCCUAUUGGAACCUUGAAGGGGCAUACAAAAUAAACUAAUAACUCAACUAUUGAUAUUGAAUAUGUGGUGCAGAAUAUGCAUGGAAUAUGUACGGGAAAACAAAAUUGACCCUAGCUAACACUUUAUCAAUAUACUAUGCAUGCCUUAUCCUCUCAUAAUUUUAUUUAAAACAUAUAUUUCAAAACCACUAGACUUAAUGCGUAAAAGUACCAUUAUUUAUUGUUAUGGGAAAGCAACAAUGUAUCCAUAGGUAUUAGUUUAUUUCACACAUUAAUAUAAAAUGAAACGAGAAUCAAUUAAACAAAAUAUAAUCUGAUAUGAACGUUAAUACAUAUAAAAACUUCACCCAUGCAUCUAUACGAUCUGGUUUGGCUUAAUCAAACGAUUCUACCUUUGUAGACUAGCUAGGACCAAAUCACCGAGUGAUAUCCGUGAUUUAUACAUAAUCCAUGAGGGAUCGAUCAACCCUACCAAUUCUGGUUAUUAUAAAUAAUAAAAGGUCACGUAUAGGUAAGAAAAACAUGUUUAACUGGAGUUGUAAGUACACAUGUGGUUGUUAAUUAAGACUAAAAAAAAACGAUUUUAAGCAACUAGGACAAAUUUUGAAGAAAGAUGUAGUAUAAAGGAUCUUAGUAUCCCGAUUAGAAACAUAAGAUCAUGCGAUCUAUCUCUUUAAAUUAGUCUGUAUCCUAUAGUUAAGUCUCCAAUAUUUAUAAAUCUUUGGAAAUUUGUUACUUUUGCUCAAAAAUCACAUGCAGUGAUUCACCCAUUUAACUCGAUUAAUCAGAAUCAAGAAUUGUUUAUCGCAGAAAACCUCCUAAAAUUUACGAAUUCAAUUAUUCAUCUCUAAUUUAAAAGAAUAUAUAUCAUAGACAUAGACACAAGUUAGUACCUUUUGGUAUUUGUGAUUUUUGAAUACUGAUGUGCUCAAAUAAUGGCAUUUGUUUAUUAAAAUGGCAAUGAGCCUACAAUGGAAUAUCCUUUAGUAAAGUGGCUACUCUUGCACUUUCAACUGUAGCGUACAUUGUUUUAUCAUGUUAAAAGUAAUUAUUAGUGUUGAUUGAAAAUGACAAAUAAUUUAUUUUAAGUUACAAAAGUUAUGCAUAAAGCAAGUUGGUUGAUGUUUAUCUAGAUUAGGAGAUAAAUAUAAAGAAAAAAUCUUUUAAGUUUGAUCUAAUGCCAUUAUAUAUAUAUAUAUAUAUAUAUAUANNNNNNNNNNNNNNNNNNNNNNNNNNNNNNNNNNNNNNNNNNNNNNNNNNNNNNNNNNNNNNNNNNNNNNAGCUGUUUACUCGUGCCAAACAACGCGUGAUAAUAGGUUUUUAAGAAAUUAGUUUUUAGAGGUGAUUAGUUUUUUUGUGUAAUAGUACCAAACAUACAAAAAAACCACAUAUUAGCCAAAACAUAUGUAUUUACAAAACAUAAACAACAACACUAACACUGUAACACCGUAUAAAUAAUAUGUAUUUACAAAAUUAGUUUUUUAAUAUUUUUAAGUUAGGUUUUACCCACAUAUGGUGUUGUUUUGAAAUAUCAGAGGAGGUGGUUAGAUGUGGUCAAGGAUUAUGAUUGUGAGAUCUUGUACCACNAAGGCCAACGUGGUGGCCGAUGCGUUGAGCCGCAGGGCGGAGAGCACUCCAUUGCGAGAUGUAUGUUUGAGAUUGACCAUGAUAGCUCCGGUAUUGGAUGCCAUUCGUGGGGCACAGGCCGAGGCUGUGCAGCCGAAGAUGCAGAAGAGGGAACGGGUCGUUGGUUUGGUUUCAGAGUUCAUUACGGAUGGACGAGGGCUUAUGACUUUUCAGGGUCGGAUUUGGGUACCGUUUGUGGGUGGUACGCGCACUUCUUUGAUGGAGGAGGCUCAUCGUUCGAAAUUUUCGAUCCAUCCGGGGGCUACAAAGAUGUAUUUGGAUUUGAGGAAAGAGUAUUGGUGGCCCUGUAUGAAGAGGGACGUCGCAUGGUUCGUUGAGAGGUGCUUGACCUGCCGUAGGGUUAAGGCCGAGCACCAGAGACCGCAUGGCAAGUUGCAGCCAUUGGAGGUUCCCGAGUGGAAGUGGGAACAUAUCACUAUGGAUUUCAUCACCAAAUUGCAGAGGACUGCCAGAGGAGUUGAUGCAAUUUGGGUGAUUGUGGAUAGGUUAACGAAGAGUGCUCAUUUCCUUGCCAUCAGUGAGAGUUCUUCAGCGGAGAAGUUGGCGGAAUUAUAUGUGAGAGAAGUGGUAUCUCGGCAUGGGGUGCCGAUCUCGAUUGUUUCGGACCGUGAUGUGCGUUUCACUUCCAGAUUCUGGAAGAAAUUUCAUGAGGAGUUGGGUACUAGAUUGCAUUUUAGUACCGCAUAUCAUCCCCAGACAGACGGUCAGAGUGAGCGGACGAUUCAGACGCUUGAGGACAUGCUUCGAGCAUGUGUGUUGGAUUUCGGGGGUAGCUGGGAUGCGUAUUUACCCUUGGCAGAGUUUUCCUACAACAACAGCCAUCAUUCGAGCAUUGGUAUGCCACCCUUUGAGCUGUUGUAUGGUAGGAGGUGUCGGACCCCCAUUUGCUGGGGAGAGGUUGGGCAGAGAGUGAUGGGCAGUACAGAGAUCGUGCUUCAGACGACAGAGCAGAUUCAGCAGGUCAGACAGAGGUUAUUGACCGCCCAGAGCCGACAGAAGAGUUAUGCAGACAGACGCCGGUCCGAGCUUGAGUUUCAGGUCGGCGACUUCGUUCUCCUGAAGGUCUCUCCUUGGAAAGGAGUGAUUCGAUUCAGGAAGAGGGGCAAGUUGGGGCCCCGGUAUAUUGGGCCAUUUCGUGUGAUUGCGAGGGUAGGCCGGGUAGCCUAUCGUUUGGAGUUGCCAGCAGAGUUGGGGCAGAUCCACGACACUUUUCAUGUGUCGCAAUUGAGGAAGUGUAUAGCCGAUGAGUCGGCAGUGGUUCCAUUAGAGGAUAUUCAGGUGGAUGCGAGCCUGAAUUAUGCCGAGAGACCAGUGGCCAUCAGAGAUCGGAAAAUCAAGGUUCUGAGGAACAAGGAGGUACCCCUGGUGUUGGUUCAGUGGCAACACCGGAAGGGAUCAGAGAUGACCUGGGAGCCGGAGCGCGAGAUGCGGGCUCAGCAUCCGGAGCUAUUUUAGAGCGAGACUUCGAGGGCGAAGUCUAAUCCUAGUGGGGGAGAAUUGUAACAGCCCGGAUCUCCAGGUAUUUUAUUGUUUUAAUAUUUUGAGUUUUGAGAAGGGACUCGGCGAGUUGGAGCUCAGACUCGCCGAGUAGGGUCGCGAUUCUGGACGCGGGAUUCGUUCGGACUCGGCGAGUCCAGGAUAUGGACUCGGCGAGUCCACGCUGUUUAAUGAAACCCUAAUUUCUCGGGUUUGGGACCUAUUUAAAGGGCCUUAUGGCCGUCAUUUGUGCUCACCAGUCCCUUGAGUGAAACCCUAAUCGAGUGUGAGCGUUUGGAGCAUAGAAGGAGGCUAUUAUUGAUCUUGGAGGUGUCAUUUUGCAAGGAAAGAGGAAAUCAGCCAAGGGGAAAGCAAGAGGAGCCAUCUUCUGAGGAUUUGGAGUCCAGAGCAUCUCUAUUGGGGUAAUAUUUCGAGCUAUUCUCUUCUAUGUUGGUGUUUUCAUUGAUUUAGGGUUUAUUGAACCCUUUUGUGGCUAGAUCUUGUGCUCCCUUGGACCCCUAAGAGAUUUAGACUAUAGAUCUGGACCCCUAAAGGUCCAGAGUGUCCCUUUGCCCAAGCUUUUUGGGAAUCAAUGGAAGUUUUGGGUUGGAACCCUUAUGCUUUAGAUCAAAAUGUUCAUUAUAAGCCAUGGGGUGUGUUAUGGACACCAAGAUAGGGACUUUACGUGGUGAAUCAGUCUUGAAAGGCUAGAUCUAUGAAUUGAUGGAACAGAUCUGACCUUAGAAGCGAGUUUGAGUAAUUGCAUGGCAUGGACUCGCCGAGUCCGAUGAGCAGACUCGGCGAGUAGCUUGAAGAUUGCCUUGGAUCGGCCAGUGAGUGAUCCAGUCGAGUCACGGGUUGACUCAGUGAGUCAGGACGAGUUAGAGAGGGUCGACAGGUGGUCUGAGUCGAGUUGGGACUCGCCGAGUCGUUCUUGAGACUCGGCGAGUUGAGUCGGGGUGGUCCCGCGAUUCUUCCAGGUGGAACUCGUCGAGUCAGGGGGAGUACUCGACGUGUAGAAAGGGAAUCCUAGAGAGUUGGUGAGAACGUCUAGACUCGCCGAGUUGCCGUGUGCACUCGCCGAGUCCGGUCAAAGUUGACCGUUGACCGUUGACCUGUGUUGACUUCUUAGGGAUAGUCAACCUUAGAGAUAUAAAGUGUUAAUUAGAGUCAUGUGAUGUUAUAGGAGGAUUAGAGCUCGGAGGAUCGAGCACGAGGGAUUUCCAGGAUUCGUGAGAUACCGAGAUACGCGAGGUGAGUCUUCUCACUAUACUUUACCUUGAGUAGGUAAUCAGAUCUAUGUGUUAGUGUAUGUAUGUUAUGUGUAUGCUAUGUGUUGUGCUGCAUUAUUUCUAUGUGAUUUAUGUUGUGCAUGUUACAGAGUUGGAACCGGAAGGUUCCUAGAGUUAGAACCUGAAGGUUCACAGAGCUUGGGUGCACGGACCCAUAGAGUUAUAGCCUCGAGUGGCUAAUAUGUGUUUAUGUGUGGUAUUUUGGGGAACUCACUAAGCUUCGUGCUCACAGUGUUAGUGUUGUUGUUUCAGGUACUAGCGAGGACCGUGGGAAGGCGCCAACUUGAUCUGUACACACGCAGGGGACUUUUGAUAUUUUUGUGUGAUCUUGGGAUUUGUAUGAUGCAGAUUGGAAUUUUAAACUUAAUAUUUUUAUGAUAAAAAUACAUAUAUAUAAGAACCUUCACAAAAAAACAUAUUAUUUAUACCAUAUGUGGGUAAAACCUAACUUAAUAAUUUUAAUAUUUUUUGUGAUCUUGGUGAUAUGAUGUUUUUAGAGGUGAUCUGUACACACGCAGAGGGACUGUUGGUAUUAGUUUUUACGUUGUUGACGGAAUACAUAUGUUCAAAACAUGUAAGACCACUAAUAUGUGAUAAAAGUUUGUGAAGGUAGUAUCGCUCUUCUUCAACGAGAUUAGAAUAAACCAAACGACCUUGCAUUAAUCAUUGUUUUCAAGUAUUCAAAAUGACUUGAGCUCAGAUUAUACGUAGCUUUUUUUGGAAAAUAUGUGUAUCUAUAUUGUCUCGCAGAUAUCUUCUUUAUUUUUAAGGGAAAAAAAACAAUCAAAUUAUUUAUUUUUAUAAAAAAAAAUUAUGCAAAAUAAGCAUACUAAUUAUGUUGUUUGUUUUUCAUCAAUAAAAUGCUUAAAAUUUGGAAAGCCAAUGGAUGUAGAUUUAUAGUUAUUGCAGUUAGCACCUUANNNNUAUGUUAAAUAUAAUAAUAAUAAUAAUAAUAAUAAUAAUAAUAAUAAUAAUAAUAAUGUAUUUUUUUAAUCUCAUACCUCAAAUAUAAUUCUUAAUAGUUUAUACUUUAUGCAUUUGAGAAAACCAUGAUGUUUUAUUUUUUUUUAUAUGUAGGUAGUGAUAAAUGGUGAUUUACAUCUCUACUUUUUUUUUAACUUAAAAAAACCCGUCUUUAUUUAAUUUCAACCAAAAUGAUUAUAAAAAAUUAAAUAUCGAAUUUUCAUAUCCAGCCUAAGUAAUUAUAAAAAAUUGUAAAUUGGUUUUGUAUUGCUGCUACUAAACAUUAAAAAAAAAUUUAUAUCAAUUUAACUUUUUAUUAAAUAAUUCUAAUCUUUUUUCUUCAUUUAGAGACACAAUGAAUUUGUUCUAAAACAAAUAAAAAACAUUUUUUGACUUUGCUUAUUACAUCAUCGUGUGUGUAUGAUUACACUUAUAUAAUUUACUACUAUUGCAUUUUUGUUCCUAGUGUUGAUAUAUAUUCACUCUUAUUAUAUAUAGCUCUAAUAACAAAAAAAAAAAUCGAAAUCUUGGAUUAGAUUUGAUAUAUCUAAGUUAAAAAGUUUUCAAAUAAGAUAGAUACGUUGUCAUAUGAGAGUGUAUAGUUUUUGUAGUAUUAGAAUCAAUUAUUAUUCCUUUCAUAUAUCAUCAAUGAGUCGUAGCUUAUUCAGGAUUCGAAUGAAUAUUGUCCCAAAGAAUAACCACUUAUUACUCCAUAGUUUGACUCAAUUCCUUCCACAUAUUAUGAUGAUCACUCCUAAAACGGGAACCACUUAUCCAUCCAAGGGUGUUAUGGAUGCAAUUACUUGCAUUGCAGUAAAUUAGAGGUUGGUGUUGUGCUGGAAUUUUGAAAUAUUCCUACCUUCUUCAUUUUGCACUUGAAAGUUUGACAAAUCUCCAUCAUCAACAAACCUUUAUAUCUAUAACAUCCCAAAUUUCAAAAGUCGAGUUAAGGGCUAAAAGUGUAAAUUGAAGAAGGGACUCGACGAGUAGGUAUACUUACUCGUCGAGUCGGAGCGGGUUUGGGUCACGAAUUAAGUGACCAACUCGCCGAGUCGGAAGCUGGACUCGAAGAGUUGGUGCUGGAAUGAGAAAAACCUUAAUCUUCGGGGUUGCACCCUAUUUAAAGGACUCAAUGUCCUCCCCUCGGCUCCCUUAGCCCCCUUUGAGAUCCAGUAAACCUUAGCUCAUGUGUAUAAGGCUAUUGGAGGGAGAUUGAAGCUUUGAGAGGUGUUCAAGUGGAAGAAACUUGAAGAUCAAAAGAGUUUGCAUCAAGAAAGUAGUGUAGAUCUGGGAUCUACUGCAGUUUUGGGCACAUCGUGGAGGUAAUGAGCCGUUACCUUUCCUUUGUUGCUUCUAGACCUAUUCUUGAAUGAGAUUUGGGGCCAUUUUGGUAUGAUUGAGAUCCAUUUCGGGUUUGGAGUUCAGAUCUGAGGUUGCUACUCCAGAUCUACACUUAUGAUGGCCUAAAAUGUCAUAAAGUAUUAGUCUUUGGUGUGUUGGUGAAGCAUGUUUGCCCCAAACCCUAGCCCUAGAGUGUUUUAAGCCUAUAGCUCCUUGGUUUCACAUAAAGUUUGCAACUUUACGUGAGGAUUAGGCCUUAGAAGUGUGGAUCUACAGUUUGGAGCCCUUGCAUGGCUCGAAAAGUCACUGUAUGGAUUAAGAACUGAAGCUACUCGACGAGUUACAUGGGUGGACUCAGCGAGUUGUAUGAAGAUAGGCAAGAACUCGACGAGUUGGAAGAACAACUUGGCGAGUCUGUUAGAGAUUGCUUUGGACUCGGCGAGUCUGUUCUCGGACUCGACGAGUUGGAUCUCAGAACCCCAAUCCUUCUAGUUAAGACUUAGAUUGGUGAGUUGAGCGUUGACUCAGUGAGAUGGACAGGAUGGGACUCAGAAAUCAUUGAACUCGAUGAGUCGUCUGGGUGACUUGGCGAGUUGAGGUGUGUUAUGAUAGUUUCAGAGUAUAAGGACUCGACGAGUCAACGGGUUGACUCAGCGAGUAGAGUCAGUCAGGAAGUUUGACUUUGACCAGGACUUUGACUUUGACAAGAGUGGACUUAGUUGACUUCUAGAGUUCAGUUUGGAUCUAAGUGAUAUAUAUAUAUAUAUAUAUAUAUAUAUANNNNNNNNNNNNNNNNNNNNNNNNNNNNAUAUAUAUAUAUUGGUAGCUCGGGGUGCUAGUGGAGCAGCAGUUCAUAGAGUUUUCGGAUAGCAGCCAGAGAGUUAUCAGCAUAGUUCAGCAGUGCAGGUGAGUUUCCUUCCAGUAGGAACGGUUCUACGGCCAUAAUGUCGACCCGUUUAGUUAGUAGUAGUUCUGGACUUCGGUCUGAUGCAGUAGUAGUGUGCUUGAUGUCUUUGUGAUUCAAGCAUGUUUGUGUUAUGUGUUCCGGACCCUGGUCCGAUGCAAUAUGCAGUAUAUGUGUUCAUGCUAGUUGAUAUGUUUAUGCUAUGUUAUGUACAGUUAGUUCCGGACCUCAGUCCGAUGCAGUUAGUUCCGGACUCGGUCCGAUGCAGGGGACAAGAUCCCAGUUAGUUCCGAAUUUCAAUCCGAUGCAGUUUUCGGACUUCGGUCCGAUGCAGAGGGCAAGGCCCUGGUUAGUUCCAAACUUCGGUCCGAUGCAGUUUCCAAACUUCGGUCUGAUGCAGAGGGUAAGGCCAUGGUUAGUUUCCGGACUUCAGUUCGAUGCAGUUUCCGGACUUCGGUCCGAUGCAGUGGGCAAGACCCAAUAUGUGCUUUAUAUGUUAUUGUAUGGUAUGUGGUAGAUUAGGGGAGCUCACUAAGCUUCGUGCUUACAGUUUUCAGUUUUGGUUUCAGGUACUUAGUUUUCAAAAGAGGAGCUCGGGAAGAUUGGAGUGCACACACCAUAGUUAGCCAGCCUGGGAUGUUUACUCUGAUAACAAGAAUAUGUUUUGAAUUAAUACUCUGAACUUAUGUUAUGACUUAUGAUAUGGUUUUUAUAAACAUGGUUUUAGCAAUGUUUUAAAGGAAAUUUUUGGACUGUAUUUUGGGACGUUACAAGUUGGUAUCAGAGCCUUGGUUUGAGGGAUUCGGGCACACUUCGGGUGUGUCUGAACUCAAACUAAGGAAAUGGUAUGAGGUUUUCAAAAGAAAAACACGUUCGAAAGGAAUUUUUAAAAAAGAAACUUAAAAAUAAAGGAGUUUUAGCAUAAGCGAAAAGAAUGUUUAGAAAGAAAUAACUUUGAAAAGGGAAAAGGGUGUGGUGCAUGCAAUCAACCGAGCUCGAGUAAGUACUCCCAAAUUACCCAUACAAGUUUAUAUUAUGAUUAUCUGUUUCAGUUUCAGUAGAACAACAUACUAGAAUAGGACUAAGGAUCUAGGAGGAUGACUUAUGUGGCUGCUAUAUGUGUUUCAGCUUUAUGAGAAUUACAUGCUAGUAUUGGGUAGACAGCAGUAGGAUAGCCUGCUUAGGUUAUGUCUGAUAGUAUGAGCUUAGCAUUGUAUGCUAGUACAGUUUCUCGUUAUAAGGAUAGAAUUGUUUGAGUAGUUUCCUGUGUCUGAAUGCUGCUUGCUUUGUGCUUUGUGGGACUCCGAAUGAUGGGAGUUAGCCAUUAGGUGAAUACGACACAUCACAUGUGAUCAGGGUUGAAUAAUCUCAGAGUGUUAAAUUUGGCCCUAUUGCGCAGCUCUCGUCUGAGUCUAACCGUUGUAGGGACGAGUCUUUUACUCGAAGGAUUAUUUGAGCCUCGUCACAUGUGAUGGUAUUCAGGUGAUGGCUAAUGGACAUUACAAGGAGGCCUUCAGUAGCUGAUGAUUAGUUAGGGUGGAGUCAGAGAUUUUCCCUAGGGCAAGCCUAGGAUGAGAGUAGCAGAGAUCAAUAGCAGUAAAAGGGACUUGGUAGAGUCAAGGCAGUUCUCGAGGAAAGUACGGAUAGUUGUGGAAGGUAGUAUGAGCCUGUACUACUGAAAGCAGAGGAUCUGUACUCGAUUCAAGAGGAGCCAAGACAAAGCCAGGGAACUUGUAGUGUGUAUGUGUAAUCCCUCAGCAGUGAAGUGUAUUUUGAUAGUUAUUGUGAUGUGUUUUCAGCAUGGUGACAUUGCGUGAGAGACCAGUGGGCGGGUCAGGCGCCAGAGAGGGAUCAGGCUCAGGUUUAGGGACCGAGCAGCUCGAGGAGCGUAUGAGAGAGUUUGUAUCAGCAGAGAUUACGCGCAACAUACUAGACCAGACUCAUGUGAUCUUUGGCACAGUCUAGGAGGGUAUACUGGAGAUUUUGGAUGAGAGGCUGGGAGCCUUCCGUAUCGAGAUGAUGGCUUUGAUGGGAGUGCGUACGUUAACAUUUCGAGAUUUUAGAGCUUGUGGAGCACCAGAUUAUCAUGGGGGUAGGGACCCCAUUGCUAGCAGCAGAUGGUUGGCAGAUGUUGGCAACGUUUUCCNNNNNNNNNNNNNNNNNNNNNNNNNNNNNNNNNNNNNNNNNNNNNGGGGGACAAGGUCAGACUCGCCUCUUGUCUUCUGAAGGGCAGAGCGCGGGAUUGGUGGGAGGAGGUUGUUCAUGCCUUGGGGGAUGAUGUCGUGUUGGACGCGAUGCCAUGGAUUGAUUUCUUGGCUAGGUUCAUGAUUGAGUUUGCACCAGCUAUUGAGGUGCAGCAGUUGGCAUGAGAGUUCCAGGAUCUUCAGCAGACCACUAAGACGGUGGUGGAGAUCACCACCAAGUUCAGGAAGAGGGCUCUUUUGAUUUCGCAGUAUGUGGUGGACGAGGAGAUGAAGAAAGCUCGAUAUCAUGAAAUACUGAGAUAUGACAUCAGGCAGUUUGUGAGCAGGUCCAACUGAAAAACGUUGGAGGACAUGAUUGCUCGGGCCAGAGAGAGGGAGAUUGAUCUGGAGCAGAUCAAGAAGAUGAAGCAGGAAGAAACACUCUCUUAUGGGGUUAGGUUUAUAAGAACGACCCAAGGGAUUGGAGGCUGAAAUGAUGAGAUUAAAUGAUCCAUAAAGAUUUUUAAAUACUCCUCAAACCCUAAAAAUUAGGGUUUCACCUGGACAUUAGUAUGCCUAGCAUACAUAUGUGUACGCCUGACGUACUAGGACGCGCCCUAGUAUGGUUAGUGUACUCACAUGUACGCCCAACGUACAACUCCUGCUCUAAAAAUUACCAUUUUGCCACUAGGGCUACAUCUCUAUAAUCCAAGGACCAAAAUGACAUACUUUAAAACCAAAUGAGGGAUUUGAAAAUACCUGAAAACCCGGGAUGUUACAAAAUGAAGAAGAAAAAUGGAACCUGGUGUUGGGUGCGACGGAGAUGUGGCUAUCGAAUGCAUCAGGUCGGUGUCUUUAUAAGGGAGCAACGACGAGCAAGGGAGAGUCGACGUAAGGAGAGAUAGCGAGAGGUGAUGUUGUCAACAAAGGUAUGUGUCUUUACAGUAUAAUAUGGUGCAUUGUAUGAUAGUAUGCAUUUCAUGGUUACAUAAUGAUAAUUGAAUGGAUAUACAUGAUAUUAGGAAAAACAUAUAAAAAAAUGUCUACAUGUUACAAUAGUAUGCGUUUUAUUAGGAAAUUGUAUCGGAUAGUAAUUGAAUCAAUCGAUCAAUACAUUUAAUGCAUUAAUUAUAAUUUUGUUAUAUAAAUCGAAAAAACCAAUUACAUAAAAAACCAGAAAAUUAUAUACGGUAAGAGUGACAUGUGACAAAAUUUAUUUUUCUUUGGGGUUGAUUUUGGCAAAAUUAAGAAAUGGUCUAUAUAAGUUUCUAAAAGGUUACGUUUAAGAAAUUUUACCUAAUGAUCCUUUUUUAUUUUAAAAUCUUGCAUAGUUAUUCCUUUUAAUUAUGUACCACUUUUAAAAAUUAACCGUUAAUUACAUGUUAAAAAACAUUCUACUCCUCCUCCUCUCAUGCCCCGCGCGUCCACUUUUUUUUAUCCACCUCUUGCACCUUUUUUUUGCUAAAAAGAAAGUCUUUUAGUCUAAAAUUUCUUUUAACUUUGAUUCUAUCCAAAUAAAAUGACUAACUUUUCUUUUUAAUAUCCUUUUUACAAUUUUCUUUUAUUACGAUUUAGUUUUAGCAAAAUUAAAGAAAUGGCUUAUGGUUCCAGCAAAGUCAUGUUUACGAAAUUUUAAGAUAAUGGUAUGUUAAUUAUGUGUUAAAAAACAUUUCUACCCACCCCACCGCAUGCACUUUUUUUUUCUUCUUAUGUGACCCUUUUGCUAACACCAUAUUUUCUUCCUCCUAAGUCCUUUCCCACCUCCCACAACUCAGAAAUGGUUUGAUUUCUUUUUUGAAUCAACGCAAUUCGUAUAUUUUCAAUUUUUAAAAUAUAAACGUAAAACAAUGUCUCUUCUUGUUUGCAAAGUUAUAUAUGUAUAUAUAUAACCAGAAAAGUACAAAAUAAAAAAUAAAAUAAACCGGUUCAAUUCUGAUAAAAACUUCAGUCAAAUUCUCAAAAAAGCUACAAAAUCAUAUAUUUAGAAAAAAGUUCAUCUAUGCAACAAUCUUGAACUGCAAAAAUGGAAUAUGCUAAGAGUAAUAUACAAUAGCAUGAGGUUAUAGACAGAAAGUCUCAACAAAAAGUCAAGGUAACGAAAGUUACAAUACCGAAAGUCAAAACCAGAAGCCUCCACCCUCGACCGUUCUACCAAAUUCUCGAAACCCUAAAGCUUCAUUAGUGUAAUAAGCCGCAAAACAUGAGAUUGAAGAAUCGUCUCUAGGAGACACUAACAAAAUCUAAUAAAAGAAUUACACAAAUUUUGUUUAAAGAAUAAGACUAAUGUAAGGGGUUGAGGGGGUGAAAGAAAUGUUUUUUGGGUUUGUUUGAUGAAUUGCAAUCUUGAAUGCUUCAAAGAACUCCAUUAUAAACUCAAACCCCACCUCCAUUAGUUUCAUCCAUAUUGCCAUUUUCCCAGCCAUCUCUUUGUUUUUGUUUGUAUAUAUGUUGUAUAAAACAUGCAUGUGUAUAUAUAGUGUGUGUAUAAAUGAAGAAAGUGAAAGGAACGAAGUAGGUUUUAUAUGCCUAUUGGAACCUUGAAGGGGCAUACAAAAU